rnacentral:rRNA from 1 species
CCUACGGGAGGCAGCAGUGGGGGAUAUUGCACAAUGGGGGAAACCCUGAUGCAGCGACGCCGCGUGGGUGAAGAAGCGCCUCGGCGCGUAAAGCCCUGUCAGCAGGGAAGAAAAUGACGGUACCUGAAGAACAAGCCCCGGCUAACUACGUGCCAGCAGCCGCGGUAAUACGUAGGGGGCAAGCGUUAUCCGGAUUUACUGGGUGGAAAGGGGGCGCAGACGGCGAUGCAAGCCAGGAGUGAAAGCCCGGGGCCCAACCCCGGGACUGCUCUUGGAACUGCGUGGCUAGAGUGCAGGAGGGGCAGGCGGAAUUCCUGGUGUAGCGGUGAAAUGCGUAGAUAUAUGGAAGAACACCAGUGGCGAAAGCGACUUUCUGGACUGUAACUGACGCUGAGGCACGAAAGUGUGGGGAGCAAACAGGAUUAGAUACCCUAGUAGUC